rnacentral:lncRNA from 1 species
ACUUUUGGGAUAGCACUGGAAAUGUAAUUGAGGAAAAUAUGUAAUAAAAAAUAUUAAUAUAUAUAUAUAUAUAUAUGAAUUCAUCAUAUAUAUUUACUAGUAUUUUUAAAUUUUUCAUUGGUAUUUCUUAUCUUUUUAAAAUUUAAAUUCCUUCUGCAUUCUUUUAAUAUAUUAAGUAAUAUAUGUGGACAUGCUGUAGAGAUGACUUAGCAAUUAAUAGUUCUUGCUGCUCUUUCAUAGGCUAAGGAUUCAUUUAACAACUACCACAUGGCAACUUACAACCAUCUGUUACUGCAGUUCUAGGGCAUUCAACAUCCUAUUCUGGCACCUGGAGAUACCACAGAUGCUUGAAAUAUAUAUGCAGGUAUGCAGGCAAAAUUUUACAUGCAGAAAAUAAAAUAAAACAUUUUUAAGGUUUAUAUUUUAUUUUUAGAUGUACUAAGAUUAGUAAAACUACAAUUAAAAUCACUUGUCCAACUUCAAUAUGAUAGUUUUGCAUCAUCUUAAUAAAUCAUUUUGUUAUGUUUGUUUUUUAUGUCAUAGAACUUUUUUUUUCAAUGAAAGAUAGAAAGGAAAUAGAUCCUGAAGUGAUGGGGAAGAACUGGGAGGAGUGGGCAUGGGGGAAACUAUUAUUAGGAUAUAUUAUAUAAGGAAAUAAUCUAUCUUUAAUACAAGCAAAAAAGAGUUCAAAGUAAUUAUGAGAGAAGAUAUUUAUCCGUAAGAAUAAAAUUUGAUGAAAAAAUAUUAAAAUGUCUAAAUGGUUGUAAAAUGCUAUGGUUUAUGGGGUGUUUGUGUGUCAAACCUAUGGUCUUCUGUAUUAUAUAGAGAAUUCUACCACUUACAUUUCCAGCCCUUAGAUGUUUAUUUUUAAAUAAAAAUCUAUAUUGCAUAAAGUCAGCUUGAAAUACACACUUUGAAGAACAGCGUCAAGUCAAAAGGACAAAAACAGUAGUGCGUUCAAGCUAAAUGAAAGUAUCAUGUAUUCCUUUGAAGUGACUACCGAACCAAAACAAGCUUAUUAAACCAUCAUAAAGGGAAGGGUGACG